GCGCCCGUAGCUCAGGGGAUAGAGCGUCGGACUCCGGCUCCGAAGGCCGCAGGUUCAAAUCCUGCCGGGCGCACCA
rnacentral:tRNA from 1 species